GUCAGCACAGUAAACGAUGAAUACUAACUGUUUGCGAUACACAGCAAGUGGUACAGUGAAAACGUUAAGUAUUCCACCUGGGGAGUACGCCGGCAACGGUGAAACUCAAAGGAAUUGACGGGGGCCCGCACAAGCGGAGGAACAUGUGGUUUAAUUCGGUGAUACGCGAGGAACCUUACCCGGGCUUGAAUUGCAUUUGAAUGGCGUGGAAACAUGUCAGCCAGCAAUGGCAAAUGUGAAGGUGCUGCAUGGUUGUCGU
rnacentral:rRNA from 1 species